UACGUAGGUGGCAAGCGUUGUCCGGAUUUAUUGGGUUUAAAGGGUGCGUAGGCGGCCCUGUAAGUCAGUGCUGAAAUAUCCCGGCUUAACCGGGAGGGUGGCAUUGAUACUGCGGGGCUAGAGUACAGAUGAGGUAGGCGGAAUUGACGGUGUAGCGGUGAAAUGCUUAGAUAUCGUCAAGAACACCUAUAGUGAAGACAGCUCACUAAGCUCAAACUGACGCUGAGGCACGAAAGUGUGGGGAGCGAACAGG
rnacentral:rRNA from 1 species